AAUCAAUAGUCGCCGCAGCGUGCAUAACGCGUUACGAUCGAAUCCGCUUUCGUCCCCGACCUGGAAGGAAUAAAGCACGCACACCUCCAAACGGAGGCAGCGACCGCGCCAAAGCGCCGUCCCAAUCCACACCGCCCUUCUAAACUGAAGCUGCGGCAGCAGCUGCCAAGAAAGGAAGCUCCCGGAAGCGCGAGGCGGCGAAGGGGAGAAUCGAAGAGCCAAGGAGGCAAGCGAAGGGAGCCGACGGCGGAGACAUGUGCCUCGUGCUGGUGUGCGACGAGCCGGAGCGCGUGGUGGCCACGUUUCAGGCGCCCGGGCGGUGCCCCUACUGCGGCGGCGGCGUGGUGGCGGCGGACGUCGAGAGCGCGCCGCGGCUCUGCUACGUCCCACUCUGCUUCCGCAUCCGCCGCCGCUUCUACUGCUCCCUCUGCUCCCGCCGCCUCGUCUCCGUCGCCUGAUCGACCGAGGCCGACCAAGCUUCGCGCGAGUGCUCUGCCCGCGUGCUAUGGAGUAAGCAAGGCGUGUCGAAUUCCGCAUGUACUAGAACCUUCUUAAGAAAUCAUGGCAUACUUGGACUUUUACUAGUACGAUCUACCAUAAUCCUUGUAUUCGUGUAUGUAUUGAUGAAUGAAAUCGGCGCGAAUAACAGCCGAGCGAGGAUGA